GGUUUUUUGUGUUGAUGAAAAAUCUAGCCUGCCCAAUGAGAUUUUAAUGGCCGCAGUAUUUUGACUGUGCUAAGGUAGCAUAAUCAUUAGUCUUGUGAUUUAAGACUGGAAUGAAAGGUUGGACGAAGGAAUAGCUGUCUUUAUGACAUUUUGUUGAAAUUGAUGAUGUUGUGAGAAGGCAACUGGUUAGCUGAGGGACGAGAAGACCCUAUUGAGUUUAAUGGAUUUGUUAUGAUUAUAUUUAUAGAUUUGUAAUUUGAUGUAAAGGAGUUCAUUUCGCUGGGGCGGUGUUAAGAGAUAAAUAUCUCUUGAAUAAAUUGGUGGAAGGAUAUAUUUUGAGCCAGUUAAAAAUUAGCUGAUAAUGAGAUCAAAUUACUGUAGGGAUAACAGCGUAAUAUUAUUGGAGAGUUCUUAUUGAUAAUAAAUUUUGCGACCUCGAUGUUGAAUUAAAAUUUCUGUUUGGUGAAGAAGCUGAAUUAGAUAGUCUGUUCGACUAUUAAAUUUUUACA
rnacentral:rRNA from 1 species